ensembl:lncRNA
GCAAGAGCGAAGGCCCAGAGAUGGAACCCAGAGAAAAGUCUCAGGGAAGAGUCAGGAGUCCCUUGGGGGCCAGAGUGGGAUGAGAGAGCUGAGGCCUUAGGGAAGACUGAGCUGAUCUUCAGACUCCAGCCUGGUGGGGAGCCGGAUGAGUCCUGGAGAGAUUCUGGCCCCAAGAAGCCGAGGCCAGAGACUUGCCAACUCUCAGCUGGUCAGAGUCCUCUGGGCCCUCCAGAAUCCUGACUCAAUUCAACAAUGACAUCUCGAGUAGCAGGGCAGUCCUGGGAGAGAAGGUAAGCAUCUUGGUUCCCAUCCCAGCCUGGCCACAGAUUCACUGGCCUCAGGGCUGGCCUUGCUCUCUCUGCAGCUUGAUGAAUUUGGAGAUCUAGGGCCUCUGAGUGUGGGAACUGGGCAGAGUCUGGUGACCUGGUCUAGAACCAGCCUUGGUGUCAGAUCCCUGGAGAGGAGCAUGUGGCCCUUUGGGAAGAGGAAGCAGACAAGGGCUGUGGCGGGAGAAGCACAGGGCAUUGUGAGAGCAAAGAAGAGGUUGCUGACCUGGCUUGGGAUCCAGAGGAAGUAGUGUCUGAGCUGAGACCUGAGGGGUGGACAGGAGGCACCAGGUGAAGAAAAGAGAAAAAAGAUGCUAGAACAGCUUGUGCAAGGAUACGGGGACAUAGGAAAGCAGGAUGUACUCAGGGAACAAAGAAGUUCAGUUUGGCUAGAGCUGGGACCUCAUGGGGAGGAACUGGCCAG